UCCACUCUCCAAGUUAGAUCCUUGUUGCCUUAUCUCAGGCUCUCUCAGUCUCUCUCUACUCUCCAGGUUCGACCGCUCGAGGUGCCGCCACUUCCAAGUCAAAUCUGACCGCAGCUCCUUCCCGGGCUCUCUCAAUCUCUCCACUCUCCAAAUUAGAUCCGCACCACCUCCGACAUCUCCUCAGGUUCUCUCGAUCUCUUUCCACUCUCCAGGCUCAACCGCUCGAGGCUCUCCCCCUUUCGGACUCUCUGCCUCUCUUUUUUUCACUCUUCACUCUUCAGUUAUUUGAGAUUUAAGGUCCAUGGACUGGCCUGGCCUAGUCCAUCAAAUUUUAGGCCCUUAUGGACCGGGUCGGAUUGGAUCGGGCCAACCUAUUUUGACAGUACUAAUCCUAGU
rnacentral:lncRNA from 1 species